CCAAAGACCAUACCUAGGCCUCCCUGCACAUAUGUAACAGAUGUGCAGCUUGGUCUUCAUGUGGGUCCUGAACAAGUGGAGUGGGGUCUAUCCCAAAAACUGCUGUCUAAUGAGAUAGGUAAACUCCCCGGAGACAGAAGCGGCCCGCUAACCGUGAAGCACAUGCAAAGCGCUCAGCAAAUGCUGCUGAAGGAAAAGCCAAAUGUCAGGAAAUGGAGACGCGCAACAUUUACUCCCAACAGCACCAUCACGCCUGCCUGUUGUUUCCUUUGUUAACUACAUAAAGUCUGUUUGGACUUACAAAACCAGAAAAUGUCAACACUUGCAUUUCCAUA